GGAGAGUAUAGCUCAGUGGUAGAGUGCAUGCCUAGCAUGCAUGAGGUCCUGGGUUCAAUCCCCAGUACCUCCA
rnacentral:tRNA from 1 species